AUAUGUUUAUAUGUGGCAUGCUUUAGCUGGAUACUGGGAAGGAGUUCCCCUUCUUUUGAAUCACUAAAGAAGUACAAUCCUAAGCUUGCUUAUCCAGUUCGAUCAUUGGGAAAUGCACCAUAAGUUCCACCAUAAGCUCUAAUAAUUGUACGAAGUAUUUUCUUCAUUUUAGAUUGUAAGAGCAGGCAUAUUUAUACUAAUCAAUGUCUUUAUAUUUCCUUUUGGAAGGCUCCUAAGGUUGAUGAGUUGAAGUUUCUUGCAUCCCAACUUUACUAUAGCAAUUCCGAAGGUUUGGUUUCAACUGGAAAAUUGAUCGAGGUAAAAUUUCAAAGAUACAUUGCUUCCAUAAAUGUUUUGUUCAUGCAAUUUCAUCAAUAUAAAAAGUAUGAUCAUUGGAGCUACAUAAUAACUUAAAAGAAGGGGGCAUAAAGUAAAUGUCUUGCGAGGUUAUGGGUGUUGGGAUUUGAAUCCAAAAUCACCACCAUAUAUUAAUGUGUGGAAUUAAUUGGUCCUAAAUAACUAUGUUAACUAAAUGCCAAAGUAUAUUUUUUUGUUCGCUUAUUUAGUUGAUUAAUUAGUGCAAUUACAUUCAAGACAAUAGUAUCUCCAACUUCGAUUAAUUCUAUUUGGGAGUGCUUGAUAAAUGCAAUUUAUGCACUUAUUUAGGCCACAUUAUUAAACUUUAAGUCAUUCAAUUAUUAAUUUAUAUUUAACUUUGAUCAAUUUUCUUUUUAUUUUCAGUGAUGGACUUGCCGGAAGCAAUUGGAGAGAAAAGGACGAUUAUCGAAUAAAAAUGCAAUUUUGGGAUCAAACUCAACGUGCUAGAAAUUGAAAGACUUAAGUGCAUUAAUUAUAAGGAAGUGAGGCCUUGAAAGAUAAAUUGUAACUAAUUGGGCCUCAAAUAAAUGGAAAGUGAAAAAGAAUACUUGGGCCUCAAUAAUUGUAGAAAAUGGGCUGCCUUGGGAUUUAUAAAAGAUAGAUAGAAAACGGCAGCCAGGAGAAAAAGGAAAACGGGAGAAAAACCUAAAAGAGAAUUAGUCUUCUUUGGGGAGUCAACAAAAACGGCUGCUAGGGGGGGCGGGGAGAAAAGAGGAGAAUUUGGACGGCUGCUGGUAGAAAGAAAUUGAGUAACAGUAGGGCUACCAAACUAUAUUAUAUAUAUACACAUUGAGAGGCCGCUAACGGAGUUGCUGGGGAAUUAAAAAGGCAGCUGCUUGGAGGAAAAUAAAAGUUGGCUUUGAAAGUCAGGCACUGCAGGCUGUUGGAAAAAAGGAAGGGAUGAAUUCUUGCGGCUUUGCUUUGGAAUUCAAUCACAGUGGCAGCCAAAUUAAAGGAAGCAAAACGGGAGAAUAAUCUAGAGAAAAUUGGUCGUUUUUGGGUAACAGUAGGGCUGCCAAACUAUAUUAUAUAUAUACACAUUGGGAGGCCGCUAACGGAGUUGCUGGGGAAUUAAUCUAUAGACAAAAAGGCAGCCAAUUGGGGGAUUAAUACACAUUGAUACACACGGAACCGAGAGGAAGAAAAACCAUAGAAAAGCUGGUUGGAAAUAAGAGAUUUCACAUUGGAUUCCAAGAAAGGCUGCCGGCUGAGUUUUUUGUGCAACUUUCUUCAAUAAUUGUGCAAGGAGCUUGAAAAUUGAAUCACUUUCCGUCGAUUUUCGGUGAUUUCCUUCCACUUUUAUUUGUUUAAUUCAACAUGAUGCUAGGCUAAAUCUUUACAUAUUUGCGCACCAUUAGGACAAUAAAUUGCUUAUUCGUAGUGUUGGAAAACUCAUGAUAGGUAGAGCACUAUUAUUGGGACACACGGACAAUAAAUAUUAGGAAUAAUAUUUGUGACGUGUAUGAUCAUACGUGAUAAUCUUAAAUGUCAAUGCAUGUUUGCUAUAUGAAUUCGGACUAGGAAUAGGAUCGUCUUGUGGUAACCAUAUAUUUAUUAUAUCUUAGAAGAGAAUAAUAAAUAAAACUGAAAUUAUCGAUUGUCGCAAUUGCAAAAAAUUUACGUAGUUAUUACUGGUUGAGAAUUAGAAUUAAGUAUUGAUCAGUGGCAUCAAAAAUCUAACACGUUGACACGUUUGUUUUUUAAACCAACUUUCAUUGUUUUUGCAAGUUUUAGUUAUAAAAAUUUGUUAGCUAUUCAUUUGAUCCUUUUUUUUUUUAAUUACAAACACGAAUUUAAAUAUAUCAAAUAUACCAGAAUUGAUCAUUGUUCCCUGUGGGACGAUAAUUCUGCCAUCAUGAUUAUUACUUGUACAACGAACCCAUAUGCUUGCGGGAUUUUGACGAACAAUGCUUAUUAACUCUAACUUUAACCUAUGUUUGUCUCUUUCUUUUCUAGUGCAUUAAAUAUUAGCAUCAAGUUUAGAUUAAAUUGAUUUCUUGUGAAUUUGAUUGCAUUAUUACUCCUUGGAAUGUACUUAGCUUUUACCUUGAUAGCGUCUUUUAGGUGUAGAAUUCUUUAAUUCAAAUAUUUUGGUUAAAGCUUUAUAUGAAAUAAUGUUUCUGUUAUAUAUUAUUAUUUUAUUUCAAUUAUUUGUGAGUCAGAGAUUGCAAGCAUAUAUGAGAAUAUAGGAAAUGUGCAAGAAACUCAAGCUUCUUUACUGUGAGAAAGAGCAUCUCCCAAUUUCAAGCUUGACACUUUUUGAAAUUUAUUUUUCUUCUAUGUUCAGAUGGUUGUUUUAUUUUUUUUUCCUUUACUUUAUCACAAUUCAACUAAAGAUACUAAGGAUAUGUUUAAUUGCAAGCAUGAAAUUUACAUGAAAAGAAAAUAAUUUCUGGGCAAUUGAAAAUUGUCAAUUAUAGUGUUUAAUUGAUUUUAUUUUCAACCUAGAAAAUAUUAUACUUGUCAAUUUUUUAUUAAUAGGUAAAUAGGAGAGAGAGGGAGUAGAUGAGAGAGAAAUAGAGAAUGAAUUACCUGGAAAAUAAAAACCUACUCUUGUUUUGAAGGAAAAUAUGGUCAUGUGACCAAAAGUAGGAAAAUAUUUUCCAUGGAAAAAAAUCAAUCAAAAUAGCUAAGAAGUAGGAAUUUGGGUAGAAAAAUAUUGGCAAUUAAAUGCACUAUUAACUUAUAUUAAAACUUUAUCAUGAAGAUUAUAAGGCAAAAGAUUUUGUUGGAGCCAGUUAGAAAAUGAGUUAUGUAGUAUAUGAUAAUCGCGCAACUAUUACUUGCACGAAAUGUUCAAAUUCUCUGAAAGUGACUAUUAAUUAGGAAAUGAGAGAUUUACUUUUAUGUAAAUCUUAUAGGAAUAUAGAAAAGUCGUCUAUCAAUGAAUUAUAUUGUGUUAAAUAUUUGUACAUAUUGACAUUAAAUAAGUUAACUUCUUCUUAAUGGAGGCAUGUUGACUAUAAGCCAUUGGAUAAGAGAGUUCAUUUGAUGAUUGUGCAAAAGAGACUAAGAGCUUAUUUGGGAGUGAUUUUUCACCCCCAAAAAUUGAUUUUUUGAUCCUUAUUUCACUAUUCCAACCGUGAAGUUUAACUACUUCUCUCACGGGUGGCCCCCACUUUUUUCCUAACGGUCACAAAAUCAAUUCUCAAAAUCACUCUCAAACGGGGCCUAAGAAGAAAUUACAGUAUGAUAUACUCGAUCUUGUAAUGACUAGUUUUGAGACUAAUCAAAUUCAUUGCCUUUGUGACCAGAUUUGUUGGCGGUGUGUUUAUCUUGAAAUUGUUAAAUUUGAUUCUUUGAGGAUAUUUAUAUACAUGAACUGGGACCUUGUCCAAAAAAAGCUUUCUCUAAAGCUACUGAUUAGCUUGGGUAAGAUGAUAUUUUAUUAUUUUCAAUUUUUAAUCGGUCCAUGUUUUUCUAUUUAUUUUAUCAAAUUUAAUCCAUUAGUACUUACUAGCAUGUGAAUAUAUGAAAUUGUACAGUAAAUAGAAAGUUCUACCAUAUAAGAUAUUGUAAAAAAUUGGUAAUAAACCAUCGCUUACACUUUCUUUAAUUACGACUUUAUCCUCCUCCUAGCAUAGCCUCCUGCUUUGAUCGAAAAAUUGACUAAGGACAGAAGCAAGCUACAAGCAUUAGCAACUGCUUUCAUUUUAUGGAAAUGGGAUCCCCAAUAGCUAGAGACAAAAGAUUCAUAUGAGAAAAGAUAAGUAAACGGGCCUCCACCUGAGCCUCCAAAGAUAAAGGUACAUGAAUAGCCAUUUGAUCCCCAUCAAAAUCUGCAUUGAAUUCCUUACUAAUGGAUGUAAACAAAUAGCAUGCCCCUUCACUAAAACGGGCUGGAAUGCCUGUAUGCCUAAUCUAUGCAGAGUGGGUGCUCUAUUCAGCAAUACAGGAUGCCCCUGCAUAACUUCCUGAAGUAUUUCCCAUACAAUCAGUUCUUUUUCCUGAAUUUUACUCUUAGCAACUCCUAUGUUCGAAGCAAGAUGUUGUUUAAUUAGACCACGAAUUACAAAUGUCUGGAAAAGCUCUAUUGCUAUUUCGCGCAGCAAUCCACAUCGAUGUAAUGAAAGUGAAGGACCAAUGACGGAAUGACCUGAAUAUUGGGUUAUCCAUUUUUAGUAAGUUACUAUUUAGCCUCAUUAUUUGAAAUUUUAGAGUUAUGCUAUAUAGCCACAAUGGGUUGCAACCCUAGUUUAGUUAAUCCUAGAUGGUAGGCUAAAUGAAAGGUGAAAUUCAAUGACUUAUUUAAUUCCACUUAUUAUUUAAUGUCAAAUUAACGCCACCUAGAUUGGGGUUGUAACCCUAGUGGGGUUAAUAGGAUUACUCAAAAUUAUACGGUUGGGAUAUUGUUGUUGUUGUUUUUUUUUUUUUUUAAUUGUGUGAUAAAAAAAGAAGAAAUUUUUUUUGGGAUUAUGUAUAAUAUUAUUUUAUUGAAGAAUAUAUAUUUGAUAAGAAGAUAGAGAAAAAUGAAUUAUAAUUUUAAUAGGGCCAAACACGGGUUAAAUAAUGUAUGCAAGUUGCAAAGCUUGUACAGAUUGUUUUCUCAGAUGGUAAUAGUCAUUAUCUUUAAUCAUACCAUUCUUUUUUCUAUAAUAUUUAAUUGUAUUUAUUAUGUUGGAAAUUUUAAUGACAUGUAUGGUGAACAGCAUUUGGUAGAUCAACUUUUUUUUCGAAGUACGUCAAUUUUGUUUGGCAAUAGUUCAUCGUGUUCCCAUCAAACUUCUUCGUCCAAUGCUUUGUUUACUAACUCAAUUAGAAUCAAUUUUACUAGGGAUGUGUUAGUUGUUGAACAAGCCAAUUUGCUGUAUUAUAUAUGUAGGUUCACUUUUAGUACUCAUCCGGAAACCAGAUAUGUAAUAAAAAUAUUUUUGAUCUUCAUGUUACCAAUAAUAUAAAUGAUUGUUUUAAUGUAUCUUGUUAUUGUAAAGUAGAACACUUUGUUGUGAUAUUUGCACAUUGAGACGUCCAAGGUCAUUUAUACUUAAGUCGGCCUUUAUAAUUUGUUGUGACGUUUCUGUACUUUUUCAAAAGGUUAGACUGCGAUUUUUCUCCCAUUGUUGUUAUUUAAAUGCUAAUGUAAUGAGAGAGAAAUGUCUCACCUUUACUUAAUGAAUUUCUUCUUUUUCGUUUUUUAAUUAAAUUUAAAAUAAUGAAUUAUGAAAAUUGGCUUCAUAUGCACCAGCCUUUGUGCAAGGAAGGCAUGUGUGAUGGCUAAGAUGAACAUAUCUUCGUUUGCUUAUUUUCAUAAAUUUAUAAUUAUGCUACUCUUCAAAUACACUCUUAAGCACUUUGAAGCUAUGUUCUUAGAAUUUAACUCAUUGAGUUGUUGUUUGUCUAUCAUUCUCCGAAAAUUCUUUUUUUUUUCUUUUUAAACCCAUUUUCAAUCAUACAUUAUCAUAAUGAAAUAUUUUGCAUGUGAAUUCAAAAAUUUUCUUACCUUUCAACCACACAUUAUUAGAAAAAUUACUAUUUCAAAACUUAUUCUCCUAAAAAAUUCUUUCUAAUAGGCAUUAAAUAAGUGUUGAUGUUGAUAUAAUGAGAUUGUAUUGUUCUUCUGUUGUCAAAAUAUGGAUUCUAAUGUUCAAUUUGAAUUUAAAUAAUUAAUAUAUUAUACUUUUACAACUGGAUAAAAUAUUGAAAGGUGUUUUAAUUCAAAAACUAUGGGAUUUGUAAUAUCACGCAUUCUUUGUGAAAAAUGGUAAAGUUUGAUUCUUUUGUUCUUUUGCAUUACAAAUGACACAUGUUCCGAAUAAGGUGUCUCCCAAUGCAACGGUUUUGUUAAUAGUUGGACGUCACAUUGUGGUUCCAUUGUUGUAGAUGACAUAGCUCCGAAGUUCAUAGCGAUUUUGGAGAGUCGACUAGAUAGCUUUGAAAAUGGCCCAAAUAUUGAAGAUAGAGAGUCCGUGUGUUCGUUGUUUUCCAAAUUGUAUACAAUUGAUAACAUCAUCUAUCAAUUGUUAUAGUAAAUUCUUUAGAUUGAUUUUAAUGUAUUAAUUCAUGGAACACUUUACAUUUGUGUUGUGGCAUCAAUUUGCUCGAUUAUGUUAGGAACCUUAGUUCAUAGCAGCGAAUUUUUUAACUUUAAAACGAUAGAUUGUUUAUUUUUUUAUUCAAUUAGUCACGUGCUUGGAAACAUGUCAUUAAGGGCAGUGUUCAAAUUCUGAACAUCUUGUAUUCAGGAAAGAGAUGUUAUCUUUUCAUCAAGAUAUUCAGUAAAUAUCUCUCGUCUAUGGAUAAAUAUUUUUUUCUGAGUACAAGGUAUUCAGAGCUUGGCCAUUGCCCCCAACAUUAUAUGUUUUCAACUAUCAAUUGAAUAAAAAUAAAUAAUCCAUCAUUUUAAUGAUAGUAAAUUCACUGUUAUAAACCAAGGUUCCUAGCAUAAUCAAGUAAUUUUGUAAUUCUUAUUGAUUUCACGACACAAAUGUAAAGUGGUUUAUGAAUGAACACAUUAAAAUCUAUCUAAAGAAUUUACUAUAACAAUUGACAGAUGCUGUUAUCAACUGUAUACAAUUUAAAAAACAACGAAUGCAUACUCUAUCUUUAAUAUUUUGGUCGUUUUCAAAGCAUUGCAGUUGACUCUCCAUAAUCUCUGUGAACUUUGGAGCUAUGUCAUUGACAAAAGUGAAACCCCAAGGUGUUGUCCAACUAUUAACAAAAUCAUUAUAUUGGGGUAAAAGAAUCAGACUUACCAUAUUUCACAAAGAAUGCAUGAUGUUACAAAUCCCUCAUUUUCUUAAUUAAAGUUCCUUCCAAUGUUUUAUCCAGUGGGAGAAGUAUAAUAUAUUGAUUAUCUAAAUUCAAAUUGGAUAUUAGAAUUCAUGUUUUGACAACGGAAGAACAAUACAAUCUCAUCAUAUCAGUACCAGCACCUAUUUGAUGUUUAUUAGAAAGAAUUUUUUUUGGGAAAAAUGAGUUUUGGAAUGGUUUUUUUUUUUUUUUGUUGAAAGGUAAUAAAAUAUUUUAUUGUGAGAAUGUGAUUGAAAGUGAGUUUUAAAAAAGAGUUUUUUGGGGAACGAUAGACAAAUAAGAGUUAAAUGCCAGUAAUCACAGCUUCAAAGUGUUCUAGUAUUUGGGAAUGAUAUCAUUAUAAAUUUAUGAAAAUAAGUAGAUAAAGAUAUUUUCAUUUUGGUCUUUUCACAUGCCAAAGGUUGAUGCAUAUGGAAGCCAAUUUUAAUAAUUUAUCAUAUUAAAUUUAAUAUAAAAGAAGAAAUUCACGAAGUAAAGGAAAGACAUUUCUCUCUCAUUAUAAUAUCAUUUAAAUAAUAACAAUGGGAGAAAAAUCGUGGUAGAACCUUUUGAAAAGGUACAUGAAAUUCACGACAACUUAUAAAUGUUGACUUCAGUAGAGACGACUAUUGAUAUCUCAAUGUGUAAAAUCUCACAACAAACUACUCUACUUUACAAAAAAUAUGGUACAUUAAAACAAUUAUUUAUAUUAUUUGUAACAUGUGGAUCAAAAAUAUUUUUAUUAUAUAUAUGUAUUAUAAGUGAAACUGUGUUUAUGAUACAACAGAUUGGUUUGUUCAACAGCUAAUACAUCCCCAGGAAAAUUGAUUCCAAUUGAGUUAGUAAACAAAGAAUUAGGCGGAGAAGUUUAAUGGGAACACAAGAACCAUUGCUGUACAAAAUUGAUAUACUUUGAAAAAAAAGUUGAUUAGCCAAAUGCUUUUCACCAUACAAGCCAUAAAAAUUUCCUGCAUAAUAAAUACAAUUGAAUAUUAAAGAAAAAUGAAUGGUAUGAUUCAAUAUAACGAUUGUUUCCAUCUCAGAAAAACAAGCUUUGCAGCGUGCAUCAUUUAGCCUAUGUUUGGCCCUACUGAAAUUAUAAUUUUUUUUCUCUAUCUUCUUAUCAACCAUAUAUUCUUCAAUAAAAUAAUAUUACACGUUAUCCUAAAACAUUUUUUCUUUCUUAAUCACACAAUUUAAAAAAGAAACACUAUUACAAAGGGUGUAUAAUCAAAGCAGGAGGCUAUGCUAGAAGAAGAGUAAAGUCGUAAUUAAAGAAAAUGUAAAUGACUUGAUAUGUUAGAACUUUUCAUUGAAUGCACAAUUCCAUAUAUUCAGAGUACUAACGGAUUAAGUUCGAUAAACUAAAUAGAAAAAAAAAUGGACCGGUAAAAGAUUGAAAAUAAGAGAAUAUCAUCUUACCCAAACUAAUUAGUAGCUUUAGAAAAAGCUUUCUUUGGACAAAGUCCCAGUUCAUGCAUAUAAAUUUCCUCAAAGAACCAAAUUUAACAGCUUCAAGGUGAAGACAUUGUCAACAUAUUAUCUGGUCACAAAGGCGAUUAAUUUGAAUGGUCUCAAAACUAGUUAAUACAAGAUCGGAUAUAUCAUACUGUAAUUUCUUCUUAUUCUCUUUUGCAAAAUCAUCAAAUGAACUCUCUUCGCCAAUGACUUGUAGCACCCGAACUUUUUCGAGAUCGGAGUUAGAAUGCCUCCACUCAGAAAAAUUAACUUAUUUAAUGCCAAUAUGUACAAAUGUUUAAUGGCGGCCUUUUUUACAUUUCUAUGAGAUUUAGAUUUAUGUAAAUCUUCCAUUUCCUGAUUAAUGAUCACUUCCAGAGUAUUUGCACAUUUUGCAUAAGUAAUAAUUGCGCGAUUAAUAUCCACUGCAUAGCUCCUUUUCUAAUUAGCUCCAACAAAACCUUUUGCUAUAUAGUCUUCGUGAUAAAGUUUUAAAUAUAAGUUAAUAUCUUUAGUUGAAUUGUGAUAAAGUAAUGGAAGAGAAUAUAACAACCAACUUAACAUUUAAAAAAAAAAGAAUAAAUUUCAAAAAGUGCCAAUCCUUAAAUUGGGAGAUGCUCUUCCCCCACAUUAAAGAAGCUUGAGCUUGUUGCACAUUUUCUAUAUUCUCAUAUAUGCUUGUGAUUCACAAGUAAUUGAGAUAAAAUAAUGAUAUAUAAUAUAAACAUUCCAUCCUACAUAUAAAAGAGUGGAAGAAUUGCCGGACACAUGUUGAGCCAAGCACUUGACGAUAUUCAGUUAGAUCACAUCCAGGUGAGCCAUCAUCAAGCUUGAGCGUUUCUGAAAUAGAUAUUGGGGUACUAACUUCCUUUGCCUCUUGCAUAUUAGUUCGUUGAAGAAGCUCUAGAAAAUACUUUCUUUGAGAUAAGAACAAACCAUUGAAGGUCCGAGUUGUUUCAACACCUAAGAAGUAGCCAAGUUUAUUGAGAUCUUUGAGAGAGAACCUAUUAGAUAGCUAACCGGUGAACUCUUGAAGAGUUGGAGGAUGAUUGCUGGUGAGUAUAAUGUCAUCUUGGAGUAUUACGCUAGAUUCCUAUCUUAUGAUGAUUUCGAUAUUCCUUUUCCAAUUGUCAUGCUAUUAUCAAUAUUAAGGUGAUAAUUAUAGAUAGGUUUGAUCAUUGACGACUUUAUAUGAGAAGACCGAUUGUCAACAUGGCC
rnacentral:lncRNA from 1 species